rnacentral:ncRNA from 1 species
GUCUUAGUUAUGACGGAGAUCAUGAUUUCAUAUUGAGUGGAUACACUGAUUCAGAUUGGGAAGGAAGCGUUGUUGAUAGGAAAAGCACUUCUGGAUGUUGUUUCAGUUUGGGAUCAGCCAUGAUCAGGUAGACAGUUUCUAUGGGGCGUAGUCCUCCCAAAAGGUAACGGAGGUGUGCAAAGGUUUCCUCAGGCCGGACGAAAAUUGACCCUCGAGUGCAAAGGAAGAAGGGAGCUUGACUGCAAGACCCACCCAUCGAGCAGGGAUGAAAUUCAGCCUUAGUAAUCCAACGGUGCCGAGUGGAAGGGUCAUCGCUCAACGGAUAAAAUUUACUCUAGGGAUAACAGGCUGAUCUUCCCCAAGAGUUCACAUCGACUGGAAGGUUUGGCACCUCGAUGUCGGAUCUUCGCCACCUGGGGCGGUAGUAUGUUCCAAGGGUUGGGUUGUUCACCCAUUAAAGAGGUACAUGAGUUGGUUUCAGAACGUCGUGAGAUAGUUCAGUCCAUAUCCGAUGUGGGCGUUAGAGCAUUGAGAGGACCUUUCCCUAGUACGAGAGGAUCGGGAAGGACGCACCUCUGGUGUACCAGUUAUCAUGCCCAUAGUAGACCCUAGGUAGCCAAGUGCAGAGUGGAUAACUACUGAAAGCAUAUAAGUAGGAAGCCCACCCCAAGAUGAGUGCUCUCCUAUUCUUACUUCCCUGAGAUCCCUAGUCGCGAACACGACUGGGACAACGAUGAGUUAUUUGUCCUUGCAGGGGAUGGAGCAAAAAAAGUAUUGAGAAUCCAAGAUAAGGUCACGACGAGACGAUCCAUUUAUCAUUACGAUAGGUGUCAAGUGGAAGUGCAGUGAUGUAUGUAGUUGAGGCAUCCUAAUAGACCGAGAGAUUUGAACCU